AGCUCAACCGGCGAGAGCGCCCCGAGGACGGACCGUCCCGGACGGUGCCGGACGGCGUGCGGGCAAACUUGUAAUGCGUAGGUCGUCGGUUCGAAUCCGACAGGGG
rnacentral:tRNA from 1 species